CCUGAAAGGGCAGGGUGCCCGCAAGGGAGCGUGGAGACAGGUGGUGCAUGGCUGUCGUCAGCUCGUGUCGUGAGAUGUUGGGUUAAGUCCCGCAACGAGCGCAACCCUCACCCCUAGUUGCCACCGGGUAAAGCCGAGCACUCGAGGGGAACUGCCAGCGUCAAGCUGGAGGAAGGCGGGGAUGACGUCAAGUCAUCAUGCCCCUUACGCCCUGGGCUACACACGUGCUACAAUGGCCAGUACAAAGGGAUGCGAGACCGCAAGGUGGAGCUAAUCCCAGAAAGCUGGUCUAAGUUCGGAUUGCAGUCUGCAACUCGACUGCAUGAAGUAGGAAUCGCUAGUAAUCGCGCAUCAGCACGGCGCGGUGAAUACGUUCCCGGGCCUUGUACACACCGCCCGUUACACCACGAAAGCUGU
rnacentral:rRNA from 1 species